GACAGAGGGUGCAAACGUUGUUCGGAAUUACUGGGCGUAAAGCGCGUGUAGGCUGCCCGGAAAGUCGGAUGUGAAAGCCCUGGGCUUAACCUAGGAAGUGCAUUCGAAACUCCCGGGCUCGAGUUCUGGAGAGGAAGGCGGAAUUCUCGGUGUAGAGGUGAAAUUCGUAGAUAUCGAGAGGAACACCGGUGGCGAAGGCGGCCUUCUGGACAGUGACGUGACGCUGAGACGCGAAAGCGUGGGGGAGCAAACAGGGAUU
rnacentral:rRNA from 1 species